rnacentral:misc_RNA from 1 species
AUAACCAUUUGGAGAGUCGGUGGAUCAUCCAUAAUCCAUUAUGCACCAAUAAUAAUUAUGCAAUUACGCAACAUAUUUGUAUUCUAGAUGCAUGCACUCUAAAUAAAUAUGACAUGAUACAUGAGUAUGAUCAUAAAUUAAAUUUAAAAAGUUUAUAUUUAUUAAGAUUAUAAUUACUCACCGCUUAUAGCCUAUCAACCACCUAACUUGAACGGUAAUCUUAGGAUCCUUAACUUUCUAA